rnacentral:sRNA from 1 species
GCAGUUGAAGAUGCAGAUGUAG